GAUGAACGCUGGCGGCGUGCUUAACACAUGCAAGUCGAACGGAAAGGCUCCUGCUUGCAGGGGUACUCGAGUGGCGAACGGGUGAGUAACACGUGGGUGAUCUGCCCUGCACUUCGGGAUAAGCCUGGGAAACUGGGUCUAAUACCGGAUAGGACGAUGGUUUGGAUGCCGUUGUGGAAAGUUUUUUCGGUGUGGGAUGAGCUCGCGGCCUAUCAGCUUGUUGGUGGGGUAAUGGCCUACCAAGGCGUCGACGGGUAGCCGGCCUGAGAGGGUGUACGGCCACAUUGGGACUGAGAUACGGCCCAGACUCCUACGGGAGGCAGCAGUGGGGAAUAUUGCACAAUGGGCGCAAGCCUGAUGCAGCGACGCCGCGUGGGGGAUGAAGGCCUUCGGGUUGUAAACUCCUUUCGCUAGGGACGAAGCUUUGUGUGACGGUACCUAGANAAGAAGCACCG
rnacentral:rRNA from 1 species